GAGCCACACCAACUAAAGCACAUGUCCUAGAGUUAGAAUGACACAGAGAAGAUUAUAAUGGCCCCUGCACAAGAUUGGCAUAAAAAUUCGUGAAGCUGUCUUAAAAAAA